UUAACUCUGUAUGUUUGGGCUUUGGCUAUAGUCAAAUAUAUUUUCUGGAAUAUCUUUCUGUUUGAUGCUCAAUUCUUUGCUUGUACUGCUUUGUUAGAUCAUAAUUUGCUUUAGUUCAAAGUUUUGAAUACUUUUUGUUAAAAGAAAUUGGAUUUUGAUUUUUUUGCUUUUAGACAUUAUUGGUGUUUUUGAGAGUUAUAUUCUUAUUUAUGUAUAGAGUACUCUCGAUCUCUCUGUCGUCGCACCCUCACCUCGCCCUCACUCUCGGUCUGCUCUCCGAUCUCUCCCCGAUCUCUCAGACGCCGAAGCCCAGAAAUUGAAGGAGUAUCUCUUGGAAAUUCGGUCACUGGUAUAAUAUAAUUUUGUGGCAUCAAGACGAACCCGGACCUCAUUGAGUCAUGGAAGGAUUAUCAUUGGAAGAAAGCAACAAAUGAUUUCGUGAACGAUGAUGCUCGCCAAGAUUAUGAAAAACUGAAGGCUGAUUUUGAGUUACAAACUCAGCAAACAUCCAUUGAUGCUUCUAAUAAUGAUAGUCUGUCAUCAGUUGAUCAGGUGGAGGUGUUACAAAAAGUAUUAGGCAAAAGGCGUGGACAUGUGCGAGGAGUGGGCCGCAAAUUGAAGGGGUCGGGGUCAUCAUCUACCCAACACUCUCACUUCAGCGAGUCUCAAGUUCCUCCUCAUCAUUCAAGAGAAUAUAUAGAAAAAUUGGAGAAUAAUCUAUAGAAAUUGACUGAUCAAGUUAAUUUCUUAACUCAAUAUUUUGUACCUUCAUUUCGUCCACCAAACGUUCAGAUGCCGCCUGUGCCUGAUAGUGACAAUAUUUAUAGGGCUUCGUCUUCUCAACCUCCAGCUCCAACUCAUCCUUCUAUGUACGAGGCAGCGCCGUCUCAACAUAUGGUACCUCCAUAUAUGUACGGAGCAACACCUUAUCCGUGUCCGAUUCCACCGUCCUCCCAGCCAUCGUAUCCCUACAUGUAUG